rnacentral:rRNA from 1 species
AGAGUUUGAUCCUGGCUCAGGAUGAACGCUGGCGGCGUGCCUAAUACAUGCAAGUCGAGCGAACAGAUAAGGAGCUUGCUCCUUUGAAGUUAGCGGCGGACGGGUGAGUAACACGUGGGUAACCUACCUAUAAGACUGGGAUAACUUCGGGAAACCGGAGCUAAUACCGGAUAACAUUUAGAACCGCAUGGUUCUAAAGUGAAAGAUGGUUUUGCUAUCACUUAUAGAUGGACCCGCGCCGUAUUAGCUAGUUGGUAAGGUAACGGCUUACCAAGGCGACGAUACGUAGCCGACCUGAGAGGGUGAUCGGCCACACUGGAACUGAGACACGGUCCAGACUCCUACGGGAGGCAGCAGUAGGGAAUCUUCCGCAAUGGGCGAAAGCCUGACGGAGCAACGCCGCGUGAGUGAUGAAGGGUUUCGGCUCGUAAAACUCUGUUAUUAGGGAAGAACAAAUGUGUAAGUAACUGUGCACAUCUUGACGGUACCUAAUCAGGAAGCCACGGCUAACUACGUG